rnacentral:rRNA from 1 species
UACGAAGGGUGCAAGCGUUACUCGGAAUUACUGGGCGUAAAGCGUGCGUAGGUGGUUUGUUAAGUCUGAUGUGAAAGCCCUGGGCUCAACCUGGGAACUGCAUUGGAAACUGGCUUACUAGAGUGCGGUAGAGGGGUGUGGAAUUCCCGGUGUAGCAGUGAAAUGCGUAGAUAUCGGGAGGAACAUCCGUGGCGAAGGCGGCCACCUGGACCAACAUUGACGCCGAGGCACGAAAGCGUGGGGAGCAAACAGG